GACGAACGCUGGCGGCGUGCUUAACACAUGCAAGUCGAACGGAAAGGCCCCUUUGGGGGUACUCGAGUGGCGAACGGGUGAGUAACACGUGAGUAACCUGCCCUUGCCUUCGGGAUAACUUCAGGAAACUGGGGCUAAUACCGGAUAGGAAUCCUUGCUGCAUGGUGGGGGUUGGAAAGCUUCGGCGGUUUUGGAUGGACUCGCGGCUUAUCAGCUUGUUGGUGGGGUAGUGGCUUACCAAGGCUUUGACGGGUAGCCGGCCUGAGAGGGCGACCGGCCACAAUGGGACUGAGAUACGGCCCAGACGCCUAAGGGAAGGAGCAGUGGGGGAUAUUGCACAAUGGGCGGGAGCCUGAUGCAACAACGCCGCGUGCGGGAUGACGGCCUUCGGGUUGUAAACCGCUUUCAGCAGGGGAGAAGCUUGUGGUGACGGUACCUGCAGAAGAAGCACCGGCUAACUACGUG
rnacentral:rRNA from 1 species